CCGAGGCAGGUGGCUCCCGUGAUGACUUGGGGAGGCUCAGGGGGCCCCCAGCGAGCCCCCAAGGGUCUCUUUCUUCUCUCUAGUCCCAGCCUCAGGAUCUGCAGACUUAGCCCCGAAGAGUUACAUACACAAAGCCUCUUCCCAGGCAUGGGCCCAAAUUAACAAACAGAAAAAGCUGAGAAUAUAGGUUGGCAGCUACUAGAUUUGAGUGGCACGAAAGCGACGCGGUGCUGCUACAAGUGGAAACAUUUGUGUUGACACUGAAGUACGUCCUCUGGCUCCCGGGCGUGGGUCAGUGGCGGGGCUAGGACUGGCUGCAUGGGCUUCGCAAAGGAGGAGCGGUCCUGGAGGAGCUGCUCGGUGAGAGCUCGGGCCAACCCCCUCCGGCCCAGCCACCACUGAUUUCAGGGUCAUCACCUGGCACGCCCUACUCCACCUCUGCAUCUCAAGGUCACAGCUACUGACCCGUGUUCACACUUUGGCACUCUUUGGGAUUUAACAUUUAUGUAGCAUUAGACUUGAUGCGUGUUUGCGUUUCUUCACUGUUGCUGCUCAGUCAGAACCAGUCCACCUUUUUUGAGCAGGAUCUGGAGGUUAUGCUGACAAUGAUGUUGGCGCCAUUUCAACAACGGGGCAUGGGGAGAGCAUCCUGAAGGUGAAUCUGGCCAGACUGACUCUCUUCCACGUAGAACAAGGAAAGACAUUGGAAGAGGCAGCCAACAUGUCGUUGGGUUAUAUGAAGUCAAAGCUGAAGGGUUUAGGCGGCGUCAUCUUGGUCAGCAAAGCAGGAGACUGGGCAGUGAAGUGGACCUCCACCUCCAUGCCCUGGGCAGCCGCCAAGGAUGGCAAGCUGCACUCUGGAAUCGAUCUCGACGAGACCAAUAUCAUUGACCUGCCCUAGGACCCUGAAGAUUGUGUUCUAGAUGCUAGCUUGGAGGGAAAGUCCAGUUUCCUGGUGUGGAGACCUGGCUUAAUCAAUUAGAUCUAGAAAUGGAAAAUUCUGCAGUCUGUCACUCGUUUUGUCGCCUUGAUCAAUGAGUAUCUGAGUGUUUGGUUGAGGGGAGGAUCUGAAGUGCCGAGAGAAACGCUCCUGUUAAGGUCAAAAUAAGACCAGUGCAGAUGACCAGGUCCUGAGUCUUUCUUAUGAGUCGUCCCCAGUGUCUUAGAUUAGAAAGAAGAAAUGACGAUCUGAACAGGACAACAGCCACUUCGGUGCAGGGAGUGCCAUCUGGGAUCAGGAGACCUGCAGCAGAGACAGAAGGGGCAGGCUCGAAAGGUGGGGGGACCCAGACCAACACCUCCCGGGGCUCUCUGUUGUGGAGUUCACGUUAAGUCCGAAGAAUGUCAGGGAAAAGAACCCAUGAGAGGAGAAGCUGAUUUUUCUAAGAAGGUUCAGAUCUCCUCUGACUUACUGAUGUGGACAUGUUUCCAGAUACUUUAGAAGUAGCCUCUGAUAACCCAUAGUCCCCAGUCUGGAGGUGAAGGGUCUAAUGGAGACUGCAGAGCUCCCACGUGAGUCUGCUGGCGUAGCAUUUUCCCACCAGCUUCCGCCUACUGCAGGCCCUCCUGGUGCUCAUGCCGAGUAAGGGGGCUCAUGAUCUCUCCACCCCUACUCUAACUAGCGCGCCGAUCCCGUGCGGAUGCACUGUGAUCUACUGCACCCUCCCGAUGUCCAGGGCUGUGGGCCCCCACGACUGCAGGGGGCAUGUGUACAGCAUGGUCAGCAUCAUGAAAAAAAGUCAUUUCCUUGGUGGAAACUCUUCCUAUUCAUCUCGCUUUACACUGGAAAUGGUAUUUCUGCUGUGACAAUUUUUUAGUCUGUCAGGUCUUACCUUCUCACUGGAAAGAAAUUGCUUAGCUUUAAACUCCAUGUGCCACUAAUAAAAUUUAUUUUGAAAGAAUAACAGUGUGGUUAGGAGUCACUGUUGACCAAGACCAGAAUGUCCACAAGCUCCCAUUGUUUCUGUCAGUUCAGACAGGCGUACUAACUCAAGAGGACUUUCAAGAGGAGGGUGGUACGGGGAUGUGUCGGUUACGUCCUGCCUCGUGGAGUAUAUUGGAGAGUUUUUCAGAGGAAUGGAGCUUUUUCUCAAUGGAUAAAGGGAGAAACCAGACCACUCUUUGCAAGGAUCAGCAGGGCAAAUGAGCAACAUUCUUGCGGUUUGCCAGCCACCUCCUUCCAGAUCCCUGCCCAUGACCUUCCGGGGCCGGCCAGCUGCUCCGAGCCACGGAGGGGGAGGUGGCACUCGGAGGCACAACUGAGUCUGAAUCCUGACUGUCCCCACUACCUGGGUGACCCAAGUUAACUUCUAGGAAUGUUUUCAUCUAUAAAAUGGAUUACCAUGAAGAUUAAAUGCAAUUAAAGGAAAACUGCUCUGUGUUUA